GCUACUCCUCAUGACCAUAGCAGGACUCACUCAUGGGAAUGAUAUUACUCCAGACAGGACUGAAGUGUCUGAUGUGGAGGGAUCCGAUUUAACCCUUUCAUGCAGCUACUCUUAUUUAGGUUCACCCAACAUGUUUUGGUAUCGACAGCAUCCAAAAUCAGCUCCUCAGCAUCUUAUGACCUUUGCCUUUGCCGGGCAGAAUCAGACAUCAGAUGUGGACCCUCGUUUGUUUGGGAGAAUGACUAAAGACAAACUCUAUCUGGAUCUCUCGUCUGCUGAACUUUCAGAUUCUGUGCUCUACUUUUGUGCCCUGAGGCCCACAGUGAAGACUAACUAGCUAACUGUCACACAAAAACCUAACAGGAAGUUCUGUCUCUACUGUACUCAUAAUACUAACGCUCCUUCCAAAAACACUACAUAAGUCACAGAG